ensembl:lncRNA
GGCAAUAGUUUUAUUGAAAGCAGAGAUAAGUAGGUACAAGCAAAAACAUCUUAACUAAUGCACUGUCCCAAAAACUGUUUCUAGGCGACGAGGUCCGAGGUGCCCGUGUAGCCGUCGGUCAGAGUUAAGUUGCCGUCGUCGCCCAGGGUGCCAUUGCCAGUGUAGAUGUCGGCCAAAGUUACAUUGUGGGUGCCGUUGCCAGUGUAGACGUCAGCAAAAGUCACAUUGCCGUCGUCGCCCAGGGUGCCGUUGCCUGAGUAGCCAUCUGCCAAAGUACCAUUGCUGCCAUUGUCGGCCAGGGUGCCAUCGUCGGCCAGGGUGCCGUUGCGGGUGUAGACGUCGCCCAGGGUGUCAUUGCCAUCUGCCAAAGUUCCGUUGCCCGUGUCGACGUCGGCCAGGUUGCCGUUGCCCGUGUAGCCGUCAGCCAAAGUUCCAUUGCUGCCGUCGUCGCCCAGGGUGCCGUUGCCAGUGUAGACGUCAGCCAAAGUUCCAUUGCUGCCGUCGUCGCCCAGGGUGCCGUUGCCUGUGUAGCCGCCAGGCAAAGUCACGUUGCAGUCGUCGCCCAGGGUGCCGUUGCCAUCUGCCAAAGUUCCGUUGCCCGUCUCGACGUCGGCCAGGGUGCCGUUGCCAGUGUAGACGUCAGCAAAAGUCACGUUGCCGUCGUCGCCCAGGGUGCCGUUGCCAUCUGCCAAAGUUCCGUUGCCCGUGUCGACGUCGGCCAGGGUGCCGUUGCCCGUGUAGCCAUCAGCCAAAGUUCCAUUGCUGCCGUCGUCGCCCAGGGUGCCGUUGCCCGUGUAGCCGUCAGCCAAAGUCACGUUUCCGUCGUCGCCCAGGGUGUCGUUGCCAUCUGCCAAAGUUCCGUUGCCCGUCUCGACGUCGGCCAGGGUGCCGUUGCCAGUGUAGACGUCAGCAAAAGUCACGUUGCCGUCGUCGCCCAGGGUGCCGUUGCCCGUGUAGCCGUCAGCCAAAGUUCCGUUUCCCGUGUAGACGUCAGCUAGGGUCACGUUGCCGUCGUCGCUCAGGGUGCCGUUGCCUGCGUCGGCAUCUGCCAAAGUUCCAUUGCUGCCGUCGUCGCCCAGGGUGCCGUUGCCCGCGUAGACGCCAGCCAAAGUACCAUUGCUGCCAUCGUCGCCCAGGGUGCCGUUGCGGGUGUAGACGUCGGACAGGGUGUCGUUGCCAUCUGCCAAAGUUCCGUUGCCCGUGUCGACGUCGGCCAGGGUGCCGUUGCCAGUGUAGACGUCAGCCAAAGUCACGUUGCAGUCGUCGCCCAGGGUGCCGUUGCCCGUGUAGCCGUCAGCCAAAGUUCCAUUGCUGCCGUCGUCGCCCAGGGUGCCGUUGCCCGUGUAGCCGUCAGCCAAAGUUCCGUUGCCCGUGUAGUCAGCUAGGGUCACGUUGCCGUCGUCGCUCAGGGUGCCGUUGCCUGCGUCGGCAUCUGCCAAAGUUCCAUUGCUGCCGUCGUCGCCCAGGGUGCCGUUGCCCGCGUAGACGUCAGCCAAAGUCUCGUUGCCGUCGUCGCCCAGGGUGCCGUUGCCCGCGUAGACGUCAGCCAAAGUACCAUUGCUGCCAUCGUCGCCCAGGGUGCCGUUGCGGGUGUAGACGUCGGACAGGGUGCCGUUGCGGGUGUAGACGUCGGACAGGGUGUCGUUGCCAUCUGCCAAAGUUCCGUUGCCCGUGUCGACGUCGGCCAGGGUGCCGUUGCCCGCGUAGACGUCAGCCAAAGUACCAUUGCUGCCAUCGUCGCCCAGGGUGCCGUUGCGGGUGUAGACGUCGGACAGGGUGUCGUUGCCAUCUGCCAAAGUUCCGUUGCCCGUGUCGACGUCGGCCAGGGUGCCGUUGCCAUCUGCCAAAGUUCCGUUGCCCGUCUCGACGUCGGCCAGGGUGCCGUUGCCAGUGUAGACGUCGGCAAAAGUCACGUUGCCGUCGUCGCCCAGGGUGCCGUUGCCCGUGUAGCCGUCAGCCAAAGUUCCAUUGCUGCCGUCGUCGCCCAGGGUGCCGUUGCCAUCUGCCAAAGUUCCGUUGCCCGUCUCGACGUCGGCCAGGGUGCCGUUGCCAGUGUAGACGUCGGCAAAAGUCACGUUGCAGUCGUCGCCCAGGGUGCCGUUGCCCGUGUAGCCGUCAGCCAAAGUUCCGUUGCCCGUGUAGACGUCAGCUAGGGUCACGUUGCCGUCGUCGCUCAGGGUGCCGUUGCCUGCGUCGGCAUCUGCCAAAGUUCCAUUGCUGCCGUCGUCCAGGGUGCCGUUGCGGGUGUCGUCGCCCAGGGUGCCGUUGCCCGCGUAGACGUCAGCCAAAGUCUCGUUGCAGUCGUCGCCCAGGGUGCCGUUGCCUGCGUAGCCAUCUGCCAAAGUACCAUUGCUGCCAUCGUCGCCCAGGGUGCCGUUGCGGGUGUAGACGUCGGACAGGGUGCCGUUGCCAUCUGCCAAAGUUCCGUUGCCCGUGUCGACGUCGCCCAGGGUGCCGUUGCCCGUGUAGCCAUCAGCCAAAGUUCCAUUGCUGCCGUCGUCGCCCAGGGUGCCGUUGCCCGUGUAGCCGUCAGCCAAAGUCACGUUUCCGUCGUCGCCCAGGGUGUCGUUGCCAUCUGCCAAAGUUCCGUUGCCCGUCUCGACGUCGGCCAGGGUGCCGUUGCCAGUGUAGACGUCAGCAAAAGUCACGUUGCCGUCGUCGCCCAGGGUGCCGUUGCCCGUGUAGCCGUCAGCCAAAGUUCCAUUGCUGCCGUCGUCACCCAGGGUGCCGUUGCCCGUGUCGGCAUCUGCCAAAGUUCCAUUGCUGCCGUCGUCGCCCAGGGUGCCGUUGCCCGCGUAGACGUCAGCCAAAGUCUCGUUGCCGUCGUCGCCCAGGGUGCCGUUGCCCGCGUAGACGUCAGCCAAAGUACCAUUGCUGCCAUCGUCGCCCAGGGUGCCGUUGCGGGUGUAGACGUCGGACAGGGUGCCGUUGCGGGUGUAGACGUCGGACAGGGUGUCGUUGCCAUCUGCCAAAGUUCCGUUGCCCGUGUCGUCGUCGGCCAGGGUGCCGUUGCCAGUGUAGACGUCAGCAAAAGUCACGUUGCCGUCGUCGCCCAGGGUGCCGUUGCCAUCUGCCAAAGUUCCGUUGCCCGUCUCGACGUCGGCCAGGGUGCCGUUGCCCGUGUAGCCGUCAGCCAAAGUUCCGUUGCCCGUGUAGUCAGCUAGGGUCACGUUGCCGUCGUCGCUCAGGGUGCCGUUGCCUGCGUCGGCAUCUGCCAAAGUUCCAUUGCUGCCGUCGUCGCCCAGGGUGCCGUUGCCCGCGUAGACGUCAGCCAAAGUCUCGUUGCCGUCGUCGCCCAGGGUGCCGUUGCCCGCGUAGACGUCAGCCAAAGUACCAUUGCUGCCAUCGUCGCCCAGGGUGCCGUUGCGGGUGUAGACGUCGGACAGGGUGUCGUUGCCAUCUGCCAAAGUUCCGUUGCCCGUGCUGCGAUCGUCGGCCAGGGUGCCGUUGUCAGUGUAGAUGUCGUCCAACGUUACGUUGUGGGUGCCGUCGUCGCCCAGGGUGCCGUUGACCUUGUAGACGUCAGCCAAAGUCACGUUGCCGUCGUCGCCCAGGGUGCUGUUGCCCGUGUAGACAUCAGCCAAAGUCACGUUGCCGUCGUCGCCCAGGGUGCUGUUGCCUGCGUAGGCGUCUGCCAGAGUUCCCUUGCUGCCAUCGUCGCCCAGGGUGCCGUCGCGGGUGCCGUCGUCGCCCAGGGUGCUGUUGCAGCCUAUGUAAUGUGAGCUGUUGGCGCUGAUGAGAAGUCCGUCGUUUUGCGCAUAUUCAACUUUUAGGUGGACAGCUGAUGCCUUAAUUUCCACCUCAUUGGUUUCAAACUUACCUUCUUUUGACUUCCGCAGGAACACAGACUCA